rnacentral:rRNA from 1 species
UGGGGAAUUUUGGACAAUGGGCGAAAGCCUGAUCCAGCAAUGCCGCGUGUGUGAAGAAGGCCUUCGGGUUGUAAAGCACUUUUGUCCGGAAAGAAAUCCUUGGCUCUAAUACAGUCGGGGGAUGACGGUACCGGAAGAAUAAGCACCGGCUAACUACGUGCCAGCAGCCGCGGUAAUACGUAGGGUGCAAGCGUUAAUCGGAAUUACUGGGCGCAAAGCGUGCGCAGGCGGUUUGCUAAGACCGAUGUGAAAUCCCCGGGCUCAACCUGGGAACUGCAUUGGUGACUGGCAGGCUAGAGUAUGGCAGAGGGGGGUAGAAUUCCACGUGUAGCAGUGAAAUGCGUAGAGAUGUGGAGGAAUACCGAUGGCGAAGGCAGCCCCCUGGGCCAAUACUGACGCUCAUGCACGAAAGCGUGGGGGAGCAAAACAGGAUUAGAUACCCCUGGUAGUCCACGCCCUAAACGAUGUCAACUAGUUGUUGGGGAUUCAUUUCCUUAGUAACGUAGCUAACGCGUGAAGUUGACCGCCUGGGGAGUACGGUCGCAAGAUUAAAACUCAAAUGAAUUGACGGGGUCAUAGCUGUUU